AGCAGCCGCGGUAAUUCCAGCUCCAAUAGCGUAUAUUAAAGUUGUUGCAGUUAAAAAGCUCGUAGUUGAAUUUCGGGAUUGACACAUCGGUCGUGCCUUAAGGGGUAUGAACUGGUGUAGUCAAUUUCUCACCUUCUGGAGAACCGCGAUGCCCUUAAUUGGGUGCCGCGGGGAACCAGGACCUUUACUUUGAAAAAUUAGAGUGUUUAAAGCAGGCAUUUUGCUUGAAUACAUUAGCAUGGAAUAAUAAAAUAGGACGGCAUGAUUCUAUUUUGUUGGUUUCUAGGAUCACCGUAAUGAUUAAUAGGGAUAGUUGGGGGCAUUAGUAUUCAAUUGUCAGAGGUGAAAUUCUUGGAUUUAUUGAAGACUAACUACUGCGAAAGCAUUUGCCAAGGAUGUUUUCAUUAAUCAAGAACGAAAGUUAGGGGAUCGAAGACGAUCAGAUACCGUCGUAGUCUUAACCAUAAACUAUGCCGACUAGGAAUCAGACGAUGUUAAUUUUUAAUGACUCGUUUGGCAC
rnacentral:misc_RNA from 1 species